AGCUCCAAUAGCGUAUAUUAAUGUUGCUGCAGUUAAAAAGCUCGUAGUUGGAUCUCGGGUCCAGGCUUGCGGUUCCGCCCGUGCGGAUACUGCUUGUCCUGACCUACCAGCCGGCCGACCCUUGGUGCCCUUAACUGGGUGUCUCGGGCGGGCCGGAACGUUUACUUUGAAAAAAUUAGAGUGUUCAAAGCAGGCGGCUCGCCUGAAUAAUGGUGCAUGGAAUAAUGGAAAAUGAUCGAGUAGCCAAUUCUCGUUGGCCUUUGGUUGCGAGGUAAUGAUUGAGAGGGACUGCCGGGGGCAUUAGUAUGGCGGCGCUAGAGGUGAAAUUCUUGGACCGUCGCCAGACUAACAAGAGCGAAAGCAUUUGCCAAGAAUGUCUUCAUUAAUCAAGAACGAAAGU
rnacentral:rRNA from 1 species